AUUAACGCUGGCGGCAUGCCUUAUGCAUGCAAGUAGAACGGGUCAGUCGCAAGACUGAUCAGUUGCGAACGGCUGAGUAAUGGAUAGGAAUCUCCCAAUUGGUGUGGAAUACCUCAUCGAAAGAUGAGCUAAUACCACAUAAGACCGCAAGGUGAAAGCGCUUAACUGCGCGCCGAUUGAUGAGCCUAUCUCCCAUCAGGCUGUUGGUGGGGUAAUGGCCUACCAAACCUAUGACGGGUACCCGCCCUGAGAGGGGAAACGGGCAGAAUGGGACUGAGACACGGCCCAUACACCUACGGGUGGCAGCAACAGGGAAUCGUACGCAAUGGACGAAAGUCUGACGUCGCAAUGCCGCGUGGAGGAUGAAGGCCUUCGGGUCGUAAACUCCUUUUAUAGUAAUAGAGAUGUUAUUAAGAAUAAGCACCUGCUAACUCUGU
rnacentral:rRNA from 1 species